AAAUGGGAUGCCUGCGUGUUAACUGACAGUGGCCUGGCCAGAGGUCAGGGGGCACUAGAUCCUUGGCAAGAAAGCUAAGGGAUCAACAGCUGAGAUGUGAGACGCCAGGCGCAUGGCAGCUCACACGUACAUGGCCCGGGACAUGACAAAGCCUUUGCCCUGGGUCUCACCCUGAUGCCCAGGCUGGAGUGUAGUGGCGUGGCCCCAACCACCUGGGCUUAAGCAAUCCGCCCACCUCGGCCUACAGGCAUUUGCCACCACACCCAGCGUCUGCUCUUUCCGCUGCUGCCGGCAGAUAAGGAUGCCCGUGGCAGCCACAGCAGUAGCAAUGAUGGCAGCGAUGAUGCCCCCGAUGAUGCCGCCUGUGGCCCCUGCGCCUGCUGUGUUGGGGGUCUCUGCAAGGAGAGGGACAGCGUGAGGGGGUCUCCAGGAGGAAGCCACAGCUCCUUAUUCCAAGCGACCAUCCCACCCCACGUCAUCGCCUGCCUGUCUAUGUCCUCUCCCACAGGCAGGGGACAUUCUUUCAUUCAACUCAAACUGCUGAGCAUGAGGAAGGAGCGAGGAUGUGUGCCCCGCAUGGGAGAUGAGUGGAGAACAAAACAUACAAAGUG